rnacentral:rRNA from 1 species
CGGACGGGUGAGUAACGCGUGAGGAACCUGCCUCAGAGAGGGGGAUAACACACCGAAAGGUGUGCUAAUACCGCAUAACAUAUGAGAGGGGCAUCCCUUUUAUAUCAAAGAUUUAUUGCUCUGAGAUGGCCUCGCGUCCAAUUAGCUAGUUGGUGAGGUAACGGCCCACCAAGGCGACGAUUGGUAGCCGGACUGAGAGGUUGAACGGCCACAUUGGGACUGAGACACGGCCCAGACUCCUACGGGAGGCAGCAG